rnacentral:rRNA from 1 species
UACGUAGGGUGCGAGCGUUGUCCGGAAUUAUUGGGCGUAAAGAGCUUGUAGGCGGUUUGUCGCGUCUGCUGUGAAAUCUCAAGGCUCAACCUUGAGCUUGCAGUGGGUACGGGCAGACUAGAGUGUGGUAGGGGAGCUGGAAUUCCUGGUGUAGCGGUGAAAUGCGCAGAUAUCAGGAGGAACACCCGAUGGCGAAGGCAGGU